UACGUAGGGUGCGAGCGUUGUCUGGAAUUAUUGGGCGUAAAGAGCUUGUAGGCGGUUUGUCGCGUCUGCUGUGAAAAUCCGGGGCUCAACCCCGGACUUGCAGUGGGUACGGGCAGACUAGAGUGUGGUAGGGGAGACUGGAAUUCCUGGUGUAGCGGUGAAAUGCGCAGAUAUCAGGAGGAACACCGAUGGCGAAGGCAGGUCUCUGGGCCACUACUGACGCUGAGAGGCGAAAGCAUGGGGAGCGAACAGG
rnacentral:rRNA from 1 species